GGGGUUGUGGCUCAGUGAUGGAGCACUCGUCUAGCACGUGCGGGGCCCUGGGUUCGAUCCUCAGCACCACA
rnacentral:tRNA from 1 species